rnacentral:rRNA from 1 species
UACAGAGGUGGCAAGCGUUGUUCGGAAUUACUGGGCGUAAAGCGUGCGCAGGCGGUUCGUUAAGUUCGAUGUGAAAGCCCCGGGCUCAACCUGGGAAUUGCAUCGGAAACUGGCGGGCUUGAGUGUGGCAGAGGGGGGUGGAAUUCCACGUGUAGCAGUGAAAUGCGUAGAGAUGUGGAGGAACACCGAUGGCGAAGGCAGCCCCCUGGGCUAACACUGACGCUCAGGCACGAAAGCGUGGGGAGCAAACAGG